rnacentral:rRNA from 1 species
CCUACGGGAGGCAGCAGUGGGGAAUAUUGCACAAUGGGGGAAACCCUGAUGCAGCGACGCCGCGUGAGUGAAGAAGUAUCUCGGUACGUAAAGCUCUAUCAGCAGGGAAGAAAAUGACGGUACCUGACUAAGAAGCCCCGGCUAACUACGUGACAGCAGCCGCGGUAAUACGUAGGGGGCAAGCGUUAUCCGGAUUUACGUGGUGUAAAGGGAGCGUAGACGGCAGCACAAGUCUGGAGUGAAAUCCCGGGGCUUAACCCCGGAACUGCUUUGGAAACUGUGCGGCUGGAGUGCAGGAGGGGUAAGCGGAAUUCCUAGUGUAGCGGUGAAAUGCUGAGAGAUUAGGAGGAACACCGGUGGCGAAGGCGACUUACUGGACUGUAACUGACGUUGAGGCUCGAAAGCGUGGGGAGCAAACAGGAUUAGAUACCCUAGUAGUC